CACGAAGAACUCCGAUUGCGAAGGCAGCUCACUAGACUGUCACUGACACUGAUGCUCGAAAGUGUGGGUAUCAAACAGGAUUAGAUACCCUGGUAGGUCCCCCCCACUAAACGAAGGAAACUCGCUGUUUGCGAUAUACAGUAAGCGGCCCCAAGGCGAAGCCAUUAAGUAUUCCCCCGGGGGAGUACGCCGGCAACGGUGAAACUCAAAGGAAUGAACGGGGGCCCGCACAAGCGGAGGAACAUGUGGUUAAUUCGAUGAUACGCGAGGAACCUCACCCGGGCUUAAAUUGCAACAGAAUAUAUUGGAAACAGUAUAGCCGUAAGGCUGUUGUGAAGGUGCUGCAUGGUUGUCGUCAGCUCGUGCCGUGAGGUGUCGGCUUAAGUGCCAUAACGAGCGCAACCCUUAUCUUUAGUUUCUAACAGGUCAUGCUGAGGACUCUAGAGAGACUGCCGUCGUAAGAUGUGAGGAAGGUGGGGAUGACGUCAAAUCAGCACGGCCCUUACGUCCGGGGCUACACACGUGUUACAAUGGGGGGUACAGAAGGCGGCUACCUGGUGACAGGAUGCUAAUCCCAAAAACCUCUCUCAGUUCGGAUCGAAGUCUGCAACCCGACUUCGUGAAGCUGGAUUCGCUAGUAAUCGCGCAUCAGCCAUGGCGCGGUGAAUA
rnacentral:rRNA from 1 species